rnacentral:rRNA from 1 species
CCUACGGGAGGCAGCAGUGAGGAAUAUUGGUCAAUGGGCGCUAGCCUGAACCAGCCAAGUAGCGUGAAGGAUGACUGCCCUAUGGGUUGUAAACUUCUUUUAUAUGGGAAUACAGUGAUGUAUAUAUACUGCUUUGCAUGUACCUUAUGAAUAAGGAUCGGCUAACUCCGUGCCAGCAGCCGCGGUAAUACGGAGGAUCCGAGCGUUAUCCGGAUUUAUUGGGUUUAAAGGGAGCGUAGGUGGGUUGUUAAGUCAGUUGUGAAAGUUUGCGGCUCAACCGUAAAAUUGCAGUUGAUACUGGCAGCCUUGAGUACAGUAGAGGUAGGCGGAAUUCGUGGUGUAGCGGUGAAAUGCUUAGAUAUCACGAAGAACUCCGAUUGCGAAGGCAGCCUGCUGGACUGUAACUGACGCUGAGGCUCGAAAGUGUGGGUAUCAAACAGGAUUAGAUACCCGUGUAGUC